rnacentral:rRNA from 1 species
GGCGUAAAGCGCACGUAGGCGGAUUGGUCAGUCAGAGGUGAAAGCCCAGGGCACAACCUUGGAAUUGCCUUUGAUACUGCCAAUCUUGAGUUCAGGAGAGGUAAGCGGAAUUCCGAGUGUAGAGGUGAAAUUCGUAGAUAUUCGGAGGAACACCAGAGGCGAAGGCGGCUUACUGGACUGAUACUGACGCUCAGGAGCGAAAGCGUGGGGAGCAAACAAGAUUAGAUACCCUGGUAGUCCACGCCGUAAACGAUGAGACCUAGUUGUCUGGCAGCAUGCUGUUAGGUGACGCAGCUAACGCAUUAAGCUCUCCGCCUGGGGAGUACGGCCGCAAGGUUAAAACUCAAAGAAAUUGACUGGGGCCCGCACAAGCGGUGGAGCAUGUGGUUUAAUUCGACGCAACGCGCAGAACCUUACCUACCCUUGUCAUUUGGUGCUACAUCCAGAGAUGGAUGGUCCUCUUCGGAGGCGCCAGGACAGGUGCUGCAUGGCUGUCUUCAGCUCGUGUCGUGAGAUGUUGGGUUAAGUCCCGCAACGAGCGCAACCCUCGCCGUUAGUU